rnacentral:rRNA from 1 species
UGGGGGCAACCCUGAUCCAGCCAUGCCGCGUGAGUGAAGAANGCCUUCGGGUUGUUAAGCUCUUUCAGUAGGAACGAAACGAUAGGCUCUAACAUAGCCUGUUACUGACGGUACCUACAGAANAAGCACCGGCUAACUACGUGCCAGCAGCCGCGGUAAUACGUAGGGUGCGAGCGUUAAUCGGAAUUACUGGGCGUAAAGCGUGCGCAGGCGGUUUCUUAAGCCAGAUGUGAAAGCCCCGGGCUUAACCUGGGAAUUGCGUUUUGGACUGGGA